UGACGGUUGUUCCGUGAAUCCCCCGUAACAUUCUGUUAAAUUCUACAAAGAAUCCUGGAAAUUGAUCUCCAAAAGCUUCUAACAGCUGACGUCCGGAAAAAUCCCUGGUAGUUAUAUAGCAUUGAAGCAUCGGUCAGAGCUAAUGCGGGUUUCUAAUCCACAUUUUGAAUGUUAGAUUGUGUUAUAAAUGUACUUUGGCACUUUUAGUUUGAAAUUUGAAUUUUUACUUAAGCUUCAUUGAUAUUAGCGUCCUGAAUUUUAAGAUACUUUACUUUGACCUUCUUCCAGGUCAAGUUUUUUUUUUCUAUGGUGCACUUUUGAAACAUUGUGCCAGAGACAUCAAGAUCAACCUUACAUUACAAGAACUUGGAUGGCGAGCCCCAGCCCAGAGGACCAAGUGAACUGGUACAGUGAUCUGACUUGUCACCAGCCGUGAAACAUAAAAAAAAAAAUUUCAGACAUAUUGAAAAGACUAAACAAACUUUGAAAGAACAUUUGACAGACACAUAAAAGACUGGGUUAUUUUUUUUAUUUAAUUUUUUUUUUAAAAAGCGCGCAAUUUUUGUUUAUUUGUACAAUGUGGA